rnacentral:rRNA from 1 species
UACGUAGGGUCCGAGCGUUGUCCGGAAUUACUGGGCGUAAAGAGCUCGUAGGUGGUUUGUCGCGUUGUUCGUGAAAACUCACAGCUCAACUGUGGGCGUGCGGGCGAUACGGGCAGACUUGAGUACUGCAGGGGAGACUGGAAUUCCUGGUGUAGCGGUGGAAUGCGCAGAUAUCAGGAGGAACACCAAUGGCGAAGGCAGAUCUCUGGGCCGUAACUGACGCUGAGGAGCGAAAGCAUGGGGAGCGAACAGG